rnacentral:lncRNA from 1 species
GAUGGGGUCCUCAAGCAACAGAGCUGUCCUGCAGAUGGCGGUGGUGGCUUUGGCUCUUACCCAAACAGGUGCUGGUGAGUUCAGGGGUUGGAAAGGAAAUAACCUCUAAAGGGAGAAACAAGGGUGUCGUGACCAGAUUUUCGGGAUCCCUUCUCCUCCUGGUCCUGAGUUCCACUCCCUGCCCCACCCCCAAUCCAUUGCUUGCCCACUGGCCCGGGGUUAUCUGGGAAGGGUUCUGAUGUUGGAAUUUUCCCUGACUCUUCUCUGGGAAGACAUUUGGACCACAAUCUCAAAUGACACAAUUGUUUAUUUUAUGUUAUCAUUGUAUUUUAAUGUCUAUCUAUGAGUAUAUGAUGUGGAUACUUGGGUGUAUAAUGUAAUUAUGUCUUUAGUGCUUGUAUGUAUGUGUGUGUAUAUGCAUGUAAGUAUGCAUGAAUGUUUGUGUGUGUGUUUGCUUGUGUUUAUAUGUUUGUAUGUGUGCAUAUGUGAGUGUAUGUGUGUGUUUAUGUGUAUGUAUGUGUAAGCCAGUACUGUGUAUCUCCCUCUAUCUUUUCUAUCUAUCUUCAGAUGGGAUCUUGCCAAUUUGGUUAGACCAGCUAGCCAGUAAAUUCCAGAGAUUCUCCUUUUUCUGCUCUCCUGGUACUGAGAUUAUAGAUUUGAAUCAACCACAUGCAGACUGAAUAUACACAGUUUAAACAAUUUACAUCUAAGUCACAAAUAACUAAAUCUUAAAGAUCUAAUUUCUAAAAUUACAAUUCUGGAAAAAUAUUUUUUGACUCAUUUAAAGAUGUUUAGUUACAUUUUGAAGAGGUGUUUACUUAAGGUGUAUAAAGUAUUACAGAGACCACUUUAUCCCAUAAAAUAGGUAAUAGCAUACUUGUUUGCAUGCACAAGCACUUGUAUACACAAAUGAAUGUCACAAUGAUGUAUCAUUGUGAGCAACAUAAACUAGGAAGCAGUAUCAUUAACAAAUGCUAGCCUUGCCUGAGUCUCGGUACUGACCAUCUACUGUGCAUGGGAACAUGGGACAGAAAAGCCAUAAUCAGAGUGGAAGGUCCCUGCUGAGAACAGACACUCCAGAAAGCUUUAUUAUACUUCUUUCAUAUGUCAUGUGUUUUAUAUCCUUCCCUGAGUCUGCAGUCCUAGUUCUAGCAGCUUCGCUUGGGCUAGGAUUAAGGCUUUUGUUUUUGUUUUUUGUUUCGUUUUUUCGAAACGUAUGUAUAGCUCUGGCUGUCCUGGAACUCACUCUGUAGACCAGGCUGGCCUUGAACUCAGAAAUCUACCUGUCUCUGCCUCCCAAGUUCUGGGAUUAAAGGCAUGUGGCUUAAGGCUUUUUUCAUAGACCUUUAUGGCCCUGCUGUCUUCCUGGCCUUUUACCCACUGUUUUCUUUCUGCAGAAGGAAAAAUGCAACAGGUACAUCCAGACUGCUAAUAAGUAUGAUGGAAUAUGGUCCCUAAUAUGGAAUAGAGUAGACAGGAGCCCAUGGGGCAACACAACCAGCUCAUCUUGUGGCAUCUGAUCAAGUCUCAUUUGUUCUGUUAAAGGCAGAAACAGUGAUUAAGGCUCUGAUGCUUCUUUCACCAUUUAGAAAGGUAAGUUGCCGGGCCUAACCUGUAGCAUGUGGUGGAACAGAGGAUAGACCCCAGGGUUAUGGGGACUCUAAGCACUGGGGCAUUUGGAGAUGAGUACUUUAGUGUCUCACCACUCCCAGGGAAUAGUCUGAAUUUCUUCUAUUCUCUUUCCCAAAGAAAGCACUGCCUUGUGUGGGACUGAAUCAGGUUUUAUUACCAGCACCCAGGCAGCAGUUCACAACCAUCUGUAACUUCAGUUUCAGGGAUGGGACAGAAGCCCUCUUCUAGUCUAUAUAAGUAGUAGGCCUGCACAGGGUAUACAGACACAGAGGUAGGUAGAAGGAGGAGGAGGAAGAGGAAGAAAGGCAGAAAAAGAAAGAAAGAAGGAAGAAUAAAUAAAUAAAUAAAACCAACCCUCAUAUACAAAAA